GGGGUCCGCGGGGGUACAAGGCCAGGCGUUUACAAGCGAGCAGGAGGAGGAGGAGGAGGAGGAGGAGGAGGAACGGGCGGCGCGGAGGGGCGCGAGGCGGCCGGGGCGGGGCUCCACGAGCGUCACGGGCCGGGGGCGGGGCCGGGGGCGCGCUCCGACCCGCCCGCGGCCCCACCUUCUACUUAGCCCAGGCUUUGGAGUCGAGACCGGAGGGACCCGGGCUAGGAGUUUCAACGACCUCCCGCCCCCAGUGACUGUCAGGCUGCCCUAGUGCAGAGCCGUCCCUUGAGCAGAAGGGCGGGAGUCCGGAGCUGGGGAUGGGGUGACAGCCGGCGCCCGCGGGGGACCUCAGAGAGUGGCGAGGGUGUGUGCGUGCGCUCCGGGCCGGCGGCCGCUGCAGGUGCACGCGCGCCCCUACACGCCUGCCCGCGCUCGGGAGCUCCCGCGCCACUCCCGGGCCGGGGCCGGAGUCGGGAGCAGGAUGGGGGAGCCCCGAGCAGGGAGCGGGACAAGUGGCGAGAGUCUUUACCUGAGAAGGCGGGCUUGGGAGAAGUUGGGGGCUACAGGGCGGGCGAAAUUCGAGAGAGCCAUCGAAGCCUGGUGGGCGGGCUGGUGGGGGCCGAGGGCGGCGGGGCCCCGCGGGGUAUAAAUAGCCGGCCCGGGUUUGACAGGCGCGGCGGUGACUGGCGGUGCCGCCCCCCCCCGCCGCGUGGGGAGGGGAGGAGCGCUCGGAGCGGGCGGGGUUGGGGAGGCGGACUCGACUGUCCUGUUGGCGGCGGCUGGAGGCCGAGGGGGAGGAGCCGAGGCGGGGGGUGGAGGGAGGGGGCCGGGAGCGGGGCGAGGGCGGGGGCCACCAUUGCUCCCCGCGCCGGGCUCAGUGUCGCCGCCGUCGCCUCGGCGGUUGGGGAGGGUGGUCGGCGGGGCGGCGCGGGCGGGGGGCUCUGCGCGGGGCGGCGCGCCGCUGUUUUGUCUCCUCCUCUCCCAGUGGAGCGGCUCGGGCAGCCGGGGAGGCCCCGGCUCCCUCCGGACGCCCGGCCAACGGCGGCGGCGGCGGCGGCUAGUCCGCGGCCCUGCCGGGAGGGAAGGCGACGCGGCGGUCUUCCCGGGCGACGCGGAGAACAGUAG
rnacentral:lncRNA from 1 species